UUUCCGUAGGUGAACCUGCGGAAGGAUCAUUAUUGUAUAACCGAGGUGCGAGGGCUGUCGCUGACCCGAAAGGUCGUGCACGCCCGAGUGCCCUCACACACAUCCAUCUCACCCCUAUGUGCACCACCGCGUGGGUCCCCCUUUGGCUUGUUCGGAGGGGGGCUUACGUUUUCACACAAACUUUGUAUGCAGUGUAGAAUGUAUUUUUUGUUUUUGCGAUCACGCAAUCAAUACAACUUUCAACAACGGAUCUCUUGGCUCUCGCAUCGAUGAAGAUCGCAGC
rnacentral:misc_RNA from 1 species